rnacentral:rRNA from 1 species
UUAUUGUUGAAGCCUCGGUGGAUUCAAUGAACGGAAAGCGGCAAACGGCGUAGUAAUGCGUAGGUACGUGCCCUCAGGUUGGGAAUAGCCACGGGAAACUGUGGGUAAUGCCCAAUGAUCUCUGCGGAGCAAAGGUGUGAUUCCGCCUGAGGAGCGGCUUACGUGAUAUUAGCUUGUUGGUGGGGUAAUGGCCUACCAAGGCGACGAUGUCUAGGGGGUGUGAGAGCAUGGCCCCCACGACCGGAACUGAGACACUGUCCGGACACCUACGGGUGGCUGCAGUCGAGAAUCUUCCGCAAUGGACGAAAGUCUGACGGAGCGACGCCGCGUGCGGGAUGAAGGCCCUUGGGUUGUAAACCGCUGUCAGAGGGGAUGAAAUCAUGGUUGGCUAUCCUUCCAUGUUGACAGAGCCUCAGAGGAAGCACGGGCUAAGUACGUGCCAGCAGCCGCGGUAACACGUACUGUGCGAACGUUAUUCGGAAUCACUGGGCUUAAAGGGUACGUAGGCGGUUUGGCAAGUCAGAUGUGAAAUGCCACAGCUCAACUGUGGCACUGCGUUUGAAACUGCCAGACUAGAGUAUUUCAGGGGUGUGCGGAACUUAUGGUGGAGCGGUGAAAUGCGUUGAUAUCAUGAGGAACACCGGAGGCGA